UCACUCUGGCUUAAUUGACAAAGAUUUACAAGCUAUUAAGAAUGUUGCUGUUGUUUUCCAUGCUAUAUCUCUUGAUCACACUUUUAGUUUUAAGGACCUCCACUCAGACCUUGGGUCAUGGUUUACUAGCCUCCCCCGUACAAUUGUUAAAUGGAUAUGUGUCCCAAGAGUCCCAUUAUGGUCCUCUAGGGACAAAGGGGGGAUUGUUAGGCCUGAAUAAAGAUAUAGCAGACAAAACCAGGUAUGCCAACCUGACCAAAGUCAGGCUAACAGAGGUUUGUGGGUAAUCCCUGAGUGGAAAACACUGAGAAGCAGCAGCAUGUCUCACAAGUGCUGGGAAAAAGUGAGAUAAGAGAGAAGCUGCAUUCCUGGCAUAGUACCAGAUGUGCUGUGUUCGGGCAGCUCCUUCGAAGAACUGAUAAGAGUCCUAGUUUCCCAGCCUCCUUGUUUUCGCUCCCUGGUUUUGUUCUUUGUUUGUUUUUAACUCCCCUACAUUUCUAACUUUAGGCAUGCAUGUAUACUAAAGGUGUCUAGUUUCUAGUUGUUAGAAGAAGGGGGUGGGUUGCUCCAGUGAAUAAUUUAUGACGCGACGGAACUGUCUAUAUAGGCUUAUACUAAGAUGUAAAGAGCAGGCUGGUUCUCUCUGGAGACGAGCUGCUCUCUAUUGAUGCGUGCACUUGUCAAUAAAGAGCUUUUGAUCGGA